rnacentral:rRNA from 1 species
GAUGAACGCUGGCGGCGUGCCUAAUACAUGCAAGUCGAGCGAACAGACGAGGAGCUUGCUCCUCUGACGUUAGCGGCGGACGGGUGAGUAACACGUGGAUAACCUACCUAUAAGACUGGGAUAACUUCGGGAAACCGGAGCUAAUACCGGAUAAUAUAUUGAACCGCAUGGUUCAAUAGUGAAAGACGGUUUUGCUGUCACUUAUAGAUGGAUCCGCGCCGCAUUAGCUAGUUGGUAAGGUAACGGCUUACCAAGGCAACGAUGCGUAGCCGACCUGAGAGGCUGAUCGGCCACACUGGAACUGAGACACGGUCCAGACUCCUACGGGAGGCAGCAGUAGGGAAUCUUCCGCAAUGGGCGAAAGCCUGACGGAGCAACGCAGCGUGGGUGAUGAGGGUCUUCGGAUCGUAGAACUCUGUUAUUAGGGAAGAACAAAUGUGUAAGUAACUAUGCACGUCUUGACGGUACCUAAUCAGAAAGCCACGGCUAACUACGUG